CCUACGGGAGACAGCAGUGAGGAAUAUUGGUCAAUGGGCGGAAGCCUGAACCAGCCAAGUAGCGUGCAGGAUGACGGCCCUACGGGUUGUAAACUGCUUUUAUACGGGAAUAACGCGCCUUACGUGUAGGGCUUUUCUUGUACCGUAUUAAUAAGGACCGGCUAAUUCCGUGCCAGCAGCCCAGGUAAUACGGAAGGUCCGGGCGUUAUCCGGAUUUAUUGGGUUUAAAGGGAGCGUAGGCCGCAUGUCAAGCGUGCUGUGAAAUGUCCGGGCUCAACCCGGGCCUUGCAGCGCGAACUGGCGUGCUUGAGUCCGCAGAAGGCAGGCGGAACUCGUCGUGUAGCGGUGGAAUGCUUAGAUAUGACGAAGAACCCCGAUUGCGAAGGCAGCUUGCUGCAGCGGAACUGACGCUGAUGCUCGAAAGCGCGGGUAUCGAACAGGGUUAGAUACCCUUGUAGUC
rnacentral:rRNA from 1 species